UCCACUUUUCGCAGAAACCCA
rnacentral:siRNA from 1 species